rnacentral:rRNA from 1 species
GUGCCAAGCAGCCGCGGUAAUUCCAGCUCCAAUAGCGUAUAUUAAAGUUGUUGCGGUAAAAAAGCUCGUAGUUGGAUUCCUGUUGAAGACGUCCGGUCCAUACCACGUAUGCGCAUCUGGCUCGGCUUCGGCAUCCUCUCGAAAGACGUUUCUGCGCUUGAUUGCGUGGAGCGGAUCUCGGGACUUUUACUUUGAGGAAAUUAGAGUGUUCACGGCAGGCUAUCGCCAGAAUACAUUAGCAUGGAAUAAUACUAUAGGAUCUCGGUUCUAUUUUGUUGGUUUCUAGAAUUGAGAUAAUGAUUAAUAGGGACAAUUGGGGGCAUUCGUAUCAACACGUUAGAGGUGAAAUUCUUGGAUCGUGUUGCGACGAACUACUGCGAAAGCAUUUGCCAAGGAUGUUUUCAUUGAUCAAGAACGAAAGUAAGGGGAUCGAAGACGAUUAGAUACCGUCGUAGUCUUUACCAUAAACUAUGCCAACUAGAGAUGGGACAUCGUUCACUUAAGACUUGUUCCGCACCUUAUGAGAUAUCAAAGUCUUUGGGUUCCGGGGGGAGUAUGGUCGCAAGUCUGAAACUUAAAGGAAUUGACGGAAGGGCACCACCAGGAGUGGAGCCUGCGGCUUAAUUUGACUCAACACGGGGAAACUCACCAGGUCCAGACAUAAUAAGGAUUGACAGAUUGAUAGCUCUUUCUUGAUUUUAUGGGUGGUGGUGCAUGGCCGUUCUUAGUUCGUGGAGUGAUUUGUCUGCUUAAUUGCGUUAACGAACGAGACCUUAACCUGCUAAAUAGGAGCGCCUAUCUCCGGAUAAGCGCCUUUCUUCUUAGAGGGACUUUAUGCGUUUCAGCAUGAGGAAGUUUGAGGCUAAAACAGGUCU